GACGACGCUGGCGGCGUGCCUAACACAUGCAAGUCGAACGGAGUAGAUAUUUCGGUAUUUACUUAGUGGCGAACGGGUGAGUAACGCGUGAGCAACCUGCCUCUUCGAGGGGGAUAACAGUUGGAAACGACUGCUAAUACCGCAUAAGACCACAAUGUCGCAUGGCAAAGGGGUCAAAGGAGAAAUCCGCGAAGAGAGGGGCUCGCGUCCCAUUAGGUAGUAGGCGGGGUAAAGGCCCACCUAGCCAACGAUGGGUAGCCGAGCUGAGAGGCUGAUCGGCCACACUGGAACUGAGACACGGUCCAGACUCCUACGGGAGGCAGCAGUGGGGAAUAUUAGGCAAUGGGCGAAAGCCUGACCUAGCAACGCCGCGUGAGGGAAGAAGGUCUUCGGAUUGUAAACCUCUGUCGCAGGGGACGAAGAAAGUGACGGUACCCUGUGAGGAAGCCCCGGCUAACUACGUG
rnacentral:rRNA from 1 species